rnacentral:rRNA from 1 species
AACGAACGCUGGCGGCAUGCCUAACACAUGCAAGUCGAACGAGACCUUCGGGUCUAGUGGCGCACGGGUGCGUAACGCGUGGGAACCUGCCCUUAGGUUCGGAAUAACUCCCCGAAAGGGGUGCUAAUACCGGAUAAUGUCUUCGGACCAAAGAUUUAUCGCCUUUGGAUGGGCCCGCGUUGGAUUAGCUAGUUGGUAGGGUAAAAGCCUACCAAGGCGACGAUCCCUAGCUGGUCUGAGAGGAUGAUCAGCCACACUGGGACUGAGACACGGCCCAGACUCCUACGGGAGGCAGCAGUGGGGAAUAUUGGACGAUGGGCGAAAGCCUGAUCCAGCAAUGCCGCGUGAGUGAUGAAGGCGUUAGGGUUGUAAAGCUCUUUUAACCGGGAUGAUAAUGACAGUACCGGGAGAAUAAGCUCCGGCUAACUCCGUG